rnacentral:rRNA from 1 species
UUAAAUUUGUAAGGGCGUAUGGUGGAUGCCUUGGCAUUAGAAGCUGAUGAAGGACGUGACUAACUACGAUAUGCUUCGGGGAGAUGUACGUAAUCUUUGAUCCGGAGAUUUCCGAAUGGGGGAACCCACUAGUGGUAAUGCACUAGUAUCGUAUAAUGAAAACAUAGUUAUACAGAAAGCAACCCAGUGAACUGAAACAUCUUAGUAACUGGAGGAAAAGAAAGAAAAAUCGAUUUCCUUAGUAGUGGCGAGCGAAACGGAAAGAGCCCAAACCGACUUUAGAGUCGGGGUUGUAGGACCUCUACUUAAGAGUUACAAAUUCACAAUAUAGUUGAACUAUUCUGGAAAGUUUGGCAAAACAAGGUGAUAGCCCUGUAAACGAAAUAUUGUGAACUCUUUGAGGUAUCCUGAGUACAACGAGACACGUGGAAUCUUGUUGGAAUCUGCGGGGACCAUCCCGCAAGGCUAAAUACUCUCUAAUGACCGAUAGUGAACAAGUACCGUGAGGGAAAGGUGAAAAGAACCCCGGGAGGGGAGUGAAAUAGAAACUGAAACCGUAUGCUUACAAAAAGUUCGAGCACAUUAAUGUGUGAGAGCGUGCCUUUUGCAGAAUGAACCGGCGAGUUAUUGUAUUAUGCAAGGUUAAGUCGAACAGAUGGAGCCGAAGCGAAAGCAAGUCUGAAUAGGGCGCUUUAGUAUGAUGCAAUAGACCCGAAACCGAGUGAUCUAGCCAUGAGCAGGUUGAAGUUGGGGUAAGACCCAAUGGAGGACCGAACCGAUAUGCCCGGAAACGCGUACGGAUGACUUGUGGUUAGCGGAGAAAUUCCAAACGAACUCGGAGAUAGCUGGUUCUCCCCGAAAUAGGUUUAGGCCUAGCCUUGAUUGAAUCUGCCCGGAGGUAGAGCACUGAAUGUGCGAUGGCGUCGUCUAGAUGUACUGAGUACAAUCAAACUCCGAAUGCUGGGUAGUACUAAUCAGGAGUCACUGUAUGGGUGAUAACGUCCAUACGGGAGAGGAAAAGAAUCCGGAUCGCCAGCUAAGGUCCCAAAAUUUGUGUUAAGUGGGAAAGGAUGUAGAGUUGUCAAAACAGCUAGGAGGUUGGCUUAGAAGCAGCCACCCUUUAAAGAGUGCGUAAUAGCUCACUAGUCGAGUGACACUGCGCCGAAGAUGUACCGGGGCUAAACACAAUACCGAAGCUGCGGACUUGUACUUAUGUGCAAGUGGUAGGGGAGCGUUCUAAGGGCUGUGAAGGUAGACCGUAAGGACUGCUGGAGCGUUUAGAAGUGAGAAUGCCGGUGUGAGUAACGAAAAUUGGGUGAGAAUCCCAUUCACCGUUUGACUAAGGUUUCCUGGGUAAAGUUCGUCUUCCCAGGGUUAGUCAGGGCCUAAGAUGAGGCUGAAAAGCGUAGUCGAUGGACAACAGGUUUAUAUUCCUGUACCACCUAUGUAACUGAUGGAGUGACGGAGAAAGCUAAUGAGAGCCAGUUAUUGGAUUCUGGUCUAAGUGCGUAGGCUAGUAUGUUGGGAAAUCCGCAAUACUAUUACAGCUGAAACAUGAUGGGGAAGUGAUCCUUCGGGUGAGCAAACUUUCAUGAUGCUACGCUUCCAAGAAAAGCUUCUAAGGCUAAUUGCAUAGGUGCCUGUACCGACAACCGACACAGGUGGUCAAGGAGAGUAUCCUAAGGUGAGCGAGAGAACUAUGGUUAAGGAACUCGGCAAAAUGACCCCGUAACUUCGGGAGAAGGGGUGGUCUAGCGAUAGACCCGCAGUGAAUAGGCCCAGGCAACUGUUUACCAAAAACACAGGUCUCUGCUAACACGUAAGUGGAUGUAUAGGGGCUGACGCCUGCCCAGUGCUGGAAGGUUAAAGAGAUUAGUUAGUAUGACGCAAGUCGAUAAUACGAAGCUUUGAACUGAAGCCCCAGUGAACGGCGGCCGUAACUAUAACGGUCCUAAGGUAGCGAAAUUCCUUGUCAGGUAAGUUCUGACCCG